GACGAACGCUGGCGGCGUGCCUAACACAUGCAAGUCGAACGGGGUUAUUAUGGAAGUUCCUUCGGGAGCGGAAGUUUAACUUAGUGGCGAACGGGUGAGUAACGCGUGAGGAACCUGCCUUCCAGUGGGGGGACAACAGUUGGAAACGACUGCUAAUACCGCAUAACAUUCACGGACCGCAUGAUCUGUGAAUCAAAGCUUUAUGUGCUGAAAGAUGGUCUCGCGUCUGAUUAGCUAGAUGGCGGGGUAACGGCCCACCAUGGCGACGAUCAGUAGCCGGUCUGAGAGGAUGAACGGCCACAUUGGGACUGAGAUACGGCCCAGACUCCUACGGGAGGCAGCAGUGGGAAUAUUGGGCAAUGGGGGAAACCCUGACCCAGCAACGCCGCGUGAAGGAAGAAGGCUUUCGGGUUGUAAACUUCUUUUGUCAGGGACGAUAGUGACGGUACCUGACGAAUAAGCCACGGCUAACUACGUG
rnacentral:rRNA from 1 species